rnacentral:rRNA from 1 species
UCGAGGAUCUUCGUCAAUGGGCGCAAGCCUGAACGAGCGACGCCGCGUGCGGGAUGAAGGCCCUCGGGUUGUAAACCGCUGUCGAGGGGGAGAAAGGCCCGCAAGGGCUUGAUCGAUCCCUGGAGGAAGGACGGGCUAAGUUCGUGCCAGCAGCCGCGGUAAUACGUAGGGUGCGAGCGUUGCCCGGAUUUAUUGGGCGUAAAGGGCGCGCAGGCGGCUACGCACGUCCGUUGUGAAAUCGCUCGGCUCAACUGGGCGGGGUCAGCGGAUACGGCGUAGCUGGAGCAAGCUAGGGGGCAAUGGAAUUCCCGGUGUAGUGGUGGAAUGCGUAGAUAUCGGGAGGAACACCAGUGGCGAAGGCGGUUGCCUGGAGCUUUGCUGACGCUGAGGCGCGAAAGCGUGGGGAGCGAUCCG